GACUAUAGCUCAGUGGUAGAGCAUUUGCCUUCCAUGCCAAAGAUCCCAGGUUCCAUCCCCGGCAUCUCCA